UACGUAGGGGGCAAGCGUUGUCCGGAAUCAUUGGGCGUAAAGAGCGUGUAGGCGGCUCGAUAAGUCUGCUGUGAAAGUCCAGGGCUCAACCCUGGAAGGCCGGUGGAAACUGUCGGGCUAGAGUGCGGAAGAGGCGAGUGGAAUUCCUGGUGUAGCGGUGAAAUGCGCAGAUAUCAGGAGGAACACCAAUUGCGAAGGCAGCUCGCUGGGACGCUACUGACGCUGAGACGCGAAAGCGUGGGGAGCGAACAGG
rnacentral:rRNA from 1 species